UACGGAGGGGGCUAGCGUUGUUCGGAAUUACUGGGCGUAAAGCGCGCGUAGGCGGACCUGCAAGUCGGGGGUGAAAGCCCGAGGCUCAACCUCGGAACUGCCUUCGAUACUGCGGGUCUCGAGUCCGGGAGAGGUGAGUGGAAUUCCUAGUGUAGAGGUGAAAUUCGUAGAUAUUCGGAAGAACACCAGUGGCGAAGGCGGCUCACUGGACUGGUAUUGACGCUGAGGUGGCGAAAGCG
rnacentral:rRNA from 1 species